GACGAACGCUGGCGGCGUGCUUAACACAUGCAAGUCGAGCGGUAAGGCCCUUUCGGGGGUACACGAGCGGCGAACGGGUGAGUAACACGUGGGUGACCUGCCCUCAGCUCUGGGAUAAGCCUGGGAAACUGGGUCUAAUACUGGAUAUGACUCCACGGUGCAUGUCGUGGGGUGGAAAGCCUUGUGCGGCUGAGGAUGGGCCCGCGGCCUAUCAGCUUGUUGGUGGGGUGANGGCCUACCAAGGCGACGACGGGUAGCCGGCCUGAGAGGGCGACCGGCCACACUGGGACUGAGACACGGCCCAGACUCCUACGGGAGGCAGCAGUGGGGAAGUCUUGCGCAAGUGGGCGAAAGCCUGACGCAGCGACGCCGCGUGAGGGAUGACGGCCU
rnacentral:rRNA from 1 species